GGCUCUGUCGUCUAGCGGUUUAGGACAUCGCCCUCUCAAGGCGGAGAUCGUCGGUUCGAAUCCGAUCAGAGCUACCA
rnacentral:tRNA from 1 species